rnacentral:tRNA from 1 species
UUUUCUGGUAGCUUAGUUGGGAAAGAUUCUGCCUGCAAAGCUGAAGACAUCAGUUCAAUUCCUGGGUAGGAAGC